CGGAUUGUAGCUCAGCCUGGUAGAGCACUGCCUUCGGGAGGCAGGGGUCGGAGGUUCGAAUCCUCUCACUCCGACCA
rnacentral:tRNA from 1 species